AUUUUCCUCGUCAUGCAGAAAGCAUUAUUUUCACCAUGACCAAUUGGACUGGGAUGAACACAGCUCUGCAGGGCGAUAUGUUCGGAGACGCUGUAAGCCCUUAAAGGAGUUCAUGCAUUGCCAAGACACGGAUCACCAGAGUCUGUUUGACCUUGUUCGCAGGAUGCUGGAAUACGACCCUGCCAAAAGAAUUACUCUUGAUGAAGCCUUGCAGCAUCCUUUUUUUGAACCAUUAAAUAAAUAAAUGCAUUUGAAGAUCUUUUAUGCUUCUCCAGGGAGAUUUCCUAGACUGUGUCAGUCAACAAGAGGUUGCAUGAAACUUUUCUAAACUUUAAAUUAUUUUGUACAGUUAAGUCUGUAAAUAGUUACAUAUGUUUUGUAUAACUGUUAUGUUUACCUUGUUGAACUGUUGUAGUCUCAUGGGUAUCGAAGUGAAAAAUAAAAGUAAUUUUCAUUUUUGAAAA